UGUUCCGCGCCGGCUCCCCUGGCGGCGGCCCUCGGCCCGCUCUGCCCGCUCCUCCCGCAACCCAUCUGCACCUCUACCCGGGCCGGCACUCUGGGAUAGGCCAGCGUGCUGGCCCCCGCGGGGAUGUGUGAGGUCCUGUGUCGUGUUAAAACAUGCACCCGUGUUGCCACUUAAGAAAGUGACGCUGGGGGUUAGCCUUGAGGCCGCUGAAGUGAGGGCACGGUGGUGCAGACCGGGUGCUCGGCCAAGGUGGAAGUUCACGGAGCUCAGGAGGACGUCGCACUCCUAUGAGACAGCCACAUUGAGAAACACCUGCAGAAACAUCCAGAAUCUGACCUUAAGGCUGAAUGGAGUGAUAAAGGCAUUCGGAGAAGGGGGAGUUUAAGAUGUUUACACGCGCUUUCUACAUUAUUCUUGAUCUCCAGAACAGUUCGAUCAUAAGGCAAGUUUUGAAAUUCCUCCACGAGGAGCAGCUGCACCACUGGUCAUUAUUCCUCCAUGUCUACGUGAAUAUUUCUUACUCUACCAAUGAAUAAACCAAAACUGAAAGUCCA